rnacentral:rRNA from 1 species
ACAGAGGGGGCAAGCGUUGUUCGGAAUUACUGGGCGUAAAGGGCGCGUAGGCGGCCUUCUAAGUCAGACGUGAAAUCCCUCGGCUCAACCGGGGAACUGCGUCUGAGACUGGAAGGCUUGAAUCCGGGAGAGGGAUGUGGAAUUCCAGGUGUAGCGGUGAAAUGCGUAGAUAUCUGGAGGAACACCGGUGGCGAAGGCGGCAUCCUGGUUGGAUACUGACGCUGAGACGCGAAAGCGUGGGGAGCAAACAGGA